GAUCAACCGUGAGCUAGAUCCCGCUGACUCCACGGAGCUUGAAUAUCCAAUAACCAACUUCACCGCGGUCAACAGGUGGGAGUUUCUAAGUGUGCGUAAACUACCCUGUUACAGGUGUGCCCAUCGCUUUAAUUAAACUUCUGCACCGAUGUCAGCGGCUCAAUUCAACCCAGGAUAAUUCUCAUCUGUAUCAAGCACAGCAGAGUUUCAACCCUCUUUGCUCACACCCAUCAAGGUCCUGGUUACCAGUCUCAAGUUCUCCUGUUUACAAGAAAGACGGCCGGCAGUCAAGGAGCGCCACGCCAUUACUGUUAUUAAGGUGCAACCCGACAGGCAUAAAAAGGACUUGGCAGCAAAUCAAGAUGAAGUAUGACAAUACAGUUUAAUCAGAUGUACGACUGGACUCGAUGAGUGGGGGAAAAAACAGCCAAAGUCCAAAGAAGGACCUUCAGAAAGCCAGGAGAAUUGCUGAUGGAGAUCCAGUAUGAGCCGGUUACCAUAUAUCCAGAUAUAUCUAGGUUUUAAUUUAAUACUCAGUUUAAAAAUUGCUAAUAUUUUGCAUCACGCCAUUUAAGGUCUCUUCAGUGAGACGCCAGAGAAUGUGCAGGAAUGAGCGUAUAAAAGUGACGAUAAAAUACUAUUUACAUUUUCUUGCUGUUUUUUUCAGGUAACUGGUUGUGACUGCAGGUCAAUUAUAGCCCAAUAAGCACCAAUAAUCUGUUAAAAAACAUUGAAAAAUCUAACAUAUAUUAAAACAAAAUUCUAAAUGUGUUUCAUCAGGACUCUAGUUACAUAAAGAAUUGUGAUUUUUUUAUUACCAAACUGCACAAAGUAAACGCAUUUAGUUAUAUUUUUGAAUUUAUUGACAAACCAACAGUGGAGAAAAAAGCAAAAAAUAACCAUUCAGAUAUUACUGGCAGUUUUGGGGUUUUUCAGACAGACACUAGUUGGAAUUUAUCGUUGUCAAGAUGAAUCCAAAUUAUUUUGGUAGUUUCUUAACAUGAUAAUAAAUUACCAUAAGGUAAAGAUACGACAAAGGCCCAGCAAAGAGUAACCUGGUGCUGCCCCUCCCCAGCCUGUUGCUGCACACUGCCAAACAACUGGCUAAAAAAUGUACUAGACUUUUUAUUUGAUUAUGAGAAAGAAAGAUAUGACUGCUUUGAAAUAUUUCCAGUCACAGUAUGGAAAGGACCAGAGAUGCACCGAUCCAGUUUUUUGCCAAUUCAAUCCGAUACCUGGGCUAAGCGUAUCGGCCGAUAUCGAUCCAAUACUACUGUUGACUGAAUAAACCGCGUUAAAAAAAAAGUUCUGCAUGUUCUUUAGCAUGGUGCUUAUUUAAGUUUAAGUUUUAUGCUCCCAGUGUUACUCUGUAAAGACCAGAACCGCAAGAUAAUAUUCUGAAAAAUAUAAUGGGAGUUUAUUCUGUAUAUUUUCAAUUUUAUCUAAGUGUAUCAUAAUAUUAAAUAAAUGAUAUAGGAUAAAUUUACCAUAACUGUAGUAAAUAGUUAUUUCUUCCACUGCUGAUAAAGAAAGCAAAUAUAAAUUAAGGGUAAUUUGCAUUUUGAUUUAUUGAUACAGAAAACUAAAAAUUAAGGCUGUUAGAAGAAAAACGAAGUGUUGAUGAAUUUGUAAAUAUUUCUCUCCUCCAUAGCAAUAUUAAAUAUUCUUAUCCGGACCCAGUGGAUUAAAAGGCGAGUGGGUCGUCACAUAUCUGAAUAUCAAUAUUUACACACAGAUUUAUUCUUUAUGCCUUGCCCCUAUACGUACUCAUUACAUUUUGUACAUUUGCAAAUCUCCACUCUUUUGUUGCACGUUUUCUAUUCAUAGGAGAAUUAUUGAAUAGAAAAUGUAUAGAAACUGAAUAGAAUCGGUUUCUAUCGCUGAAUAGAAA